rnacentral:rRNA from 1 species
GAGACCUCAGGUCAGGCGGGGCUACCCGCUGAGUUUAAGCAUAUCAAUAAGCGGAGGAAAAGAAACUAACAAGAUUC